rnacentral:lncRNA from 1 species
GCACUAUCUCCAAGUCUAAACGGUACAAACAAGAAGCUGCAAAAUUUAAAGCUGAGAUAGGCAUUCAAUGCUAGAAGGAGGUCUUUCCAAUCAAUAGCUUCUUGGCCAAUCAAGACCAAACUUUGCCAAAAGUGCGAAUGCAAAGUGCUCUCUCUCUUAAAAAGAAGGCCAAUUGUGAGUGAGACAUUCAAGGUUUUGUAGAAGCGAAUGGCAGCUGAAGGUUAAGAGCCAUCGAGAAUAGGAAUGUUUUUUUAUUCAUGUGUAGCUAGCUAAGAAUGCUCUUGUUUGGUGCAUUAUCUUGUUACUUGAAUGUAUUGAUGCUUGAAUAAUGGUUCUUGAAUGAUAUAUAUGGAUUAGAGUAUUGUUU